UACGUAGGGGGCAAGCGUUGUCCGGAUUUAUUGGGCGUAAAGAGCGUGUAGGCGGCCAGACAAGUCUGCUGUGAAAACUCGAGGCUCAACCUCGAGCUGUCGGUGGAAACUGUCUGGCUAGAGUUCGGGAGAGGAGAGUGGAAUUCCCAGUGUAGAGGUGAAAUUCGUAGAUAUUGGGAAGAACACCGGUGGCGAAGGCGGCUCUCUGGACCGAGACUGACGCUGAGGCGCGAAAGCGUGGGGAGCAAACAGG
rnacentral:rRNA from 1 species